UUACCGCCAUCAAAGUUCGUAUGUUUACAGCAAAAUAGGCAGAUUGAAAAUAGUAUUUAAUGAGAAAAUACGCGGAUUCAAAUGGGCUGAAAUCUUUGAGGAACCGUUGUCUGAAGGACGAGCCGACAGUGAAAUCUACCCGAGUGUUCGUGAAUCCCAUCCGUUGCAGCAGCAAAAAGAGGACUACUUAGAGGCUCUACACUACCAUUAUAAUAACAUUCCUUCACGUCUAUAUCUAUGGAGAUUUAUUAGGAGAUCCUGAGAAGAAAGCUAUAAAAAUAAUUCACUUGUGUCGACGAGUUUCUUGCUAGCAGAAAGUCGACAAGUUCACAGUUUACAACAAACAUCGAACACAACCACACAAGCGACAAACAGAAAGCGACGAAAAACACUGCCAAAGUGAAUUUUGAACGACGGUUUGUAUAGAGAAUAUCACAGUUAUUUUUCUUUUAUUGUUGUGCUUUUAUAAUGCUCGUUUAUUCGUGUUUUUUUUUCCAAAACCAAUCGCUCAAGCUAAAACACCGUACCAGUUUGACGUCAAGAUGUUAUAUCAAAGUCAUCUAUCCCUGUUUUGAUUGGCUUAAAUACCAUCUACUUGAAUUCCGAUCGGCUUAUAAUUUUGGAGUGCACUUGAGUGGUUUUCAUUCCACUGGCAAUCGCCAUGAAAAUGUUAAAUUCGUAAAUACUUACACGUUCUAUAAAUUCAGGCGUAUAUUCCUCACGGUAAAACCAACCAAGGACUACCUGAGGGCCAUGAUUGAUGCUGAAGGCUGGGAGGCAUGAGAAUAGGCAAAUGUCUUAAAGAUAAUAAAGUAGGGGAUUUCUUACUUUGAUACAGCAGUAAAUGUGAAAUAGGCUUUUUUAAAGCAAAUACUUGCCCUCAAUGAUAGAUCUGAAAACAUUUUUUCUAUCAACCUAAAGAUAAUGAGGAGCAUUACUGAUUAUUACUGAAGCUAUAGUCCAAUUUCUUCCUUUUCUCUCUUUCUUUCUCUCUCUCUCUCUUGACUAUUGAUAUUAUUUGCUGUUUCCUCUCUGCACCCUAAAUAAAUUAAAAUAGGUAAUAGGUUUGAAAUUAGACAUUUUCAAUCAAUUUGUUCUCCUCCUUGCAUUUAAUUUUGGAGUAGCAUUAGCAUAUGUGGAUCCAUGGUUUCUAUAAAAAAAAGCAGGCCACCAUCCUACAGGGUGGGUGCACCAAUGUCUAAUGCAUGACUGGAGGUAUGUUUGUGAAUUUUAAUUUCCUUGGUGAUGGAGUAUCACCAGUAAUAAGUGAUAUAUUAAUCUUCCAUAUGGCACCUGAAGUGUAUCUAACUGUAUCAUUCUAUCUUUGAAAUGCUGUUGCAUCCAUCAUUUGUUUCUUUGCAAGGGCAAAGCUGGUCAGAAUGUAGCUUUGAUACAAGUGUACAUUAAUGAAACUUCUAUCAAGGGAAGGGUUUUUAUUAGAGCAAGGUCCUGGGGGGGACUCUCCAGAAAGAUGGACAGGGGUGCUCGACCUAUCUUUUAUGGUAUAAUAUUCUUACCACCUUCUAUCUCUUAGGGUGUGUUUUAGGAUUUUUCCAAUUCUGCUAUCUUUUAGGGGUUUUCACGCCCGGGGAGGAGUAUUUUUCCGAUUCUGCUAUCUUUUAGGGUGUCUCACGCUAAGUGGUGGCCCAAUCGCUUGAAAUGUAUUUUACAAUAAACCACAAGUCAACUGA